CUGGGUAGCAUUUUGCAGAACCCAACAGGAGGAUGAAUGAAACCUCUAAAUGAUUUUCAGUCCCCACGGAGAAGUCCCUUCUAGGGCUUUCCAUACUUCUCAGCAUCUGGGGAGCCAAAGCAUCCCUCAGCCAUGACCAGAGCUAAGAUGUGCAGUGCUUCCCAGGCUAGGAAAGGACCAGACCUCAGGCCCUGAAGCCUGGACGGCAGAGAGCUGGACCCACCUGCAAGCCUCCACACCCUCACCUCUGUGAGCAUGACCAGCCCGACGAGGAAGGAGGUGACAGACACCCCCAGAAUGAGGA